AUUGAACGCUGGCGGCGUGCUUAACACAUGCAAGUCGAUCGGUAACGCGGGGGCAACCCUGGCGACGAGAGGCGGACGGGUGAGGAACGCUUGGGAAUCUGCCUAUCAGCGGGGGACAACACGGGGAAACUCGUGCUAAUACCGCAUACGCUCUACGGAGGAAAGCCGGGGACCGCAAGGCCUGGCACUGAUAGAUGAGCCCAAGCCGGAUUAGCUAGUUGGCGGGGUAACGGCCCACCAAGGCGACGAUCCGUAGCUGGUCUGAGAGGACGAUCAGACACACUGGAACUGAGACACGGUCCAGACUCCUACGGGAGGCAGAAGUGGGGAAUAUUGGACAAUGGGGGAAACCCUGAUCCAGCGACGCCGCGUGGGUGAAGAAGGCCUGCGGGUUGUAAGGCCCUUUCGGUAGGGACGAAAGCUCUCGACCUAAUACGUCGGGAGGUUGACUUAACCUACAGAAGAAGCACCGGCUAACUCUGUGCCAGCCGCCGCCGUAAAAC
rnacentral:rRNA from 1 species